UUGGUUUCUUCAGUGAAAGCCCUAACCCUAUUUGUUGUCAACUCAUUAUUAAGGCCCGAUUUCUGUACAAUUUAUUUGAGAAAGCAAAUACAUAGAGUACUCUUUAUUGCCAAUCCAUUGUAACAGAAAAAUGUUUAGUACUAUUUAUUGCCAAUUCACUAUAGAUAGAAAUAAGACGAGCACUAUUUAUUGCCAAUUCAUUAUAGAUAAUAAGAAAUAGAGCAUUAUUUAUUGCCUAUUCAUUAUAAAUAGAAAUAAAUCAAGCACUAUUUAUUGCCUAUUCAUUAUAGAUAGAAAAAAAUGAGAAAUAUGUGUUGCCUAUUCUUUAUACUUAAAUAUGUACCUUGUACAUAUUUAAUUCAUGAUCAUUAUAUUUGCGUAAUGAAAAUCGUUUCCAGCUUAUUUCAAACAUUAUUUGUUAGUAGCGAUAAAUUGGUAGAUUUUAUUUAAAAUUACAAAGCCAUAAAAAGCUGGUUUCUGUCAAUUUUAACAUGAUUAAUUUAUACAGUAAGCCUGAUUACAAUUAUUGUUUAUCAGAAGACCAGCCAUCUUCAUACUGAAUUCAAUACUAAUUUAAAUAUAUAAUUUUUGGCAAAAAAACUGAUGAAGAUCAAAGAUAUUUGCAGUUAUGUCUUCCAUAAAUUAAGGUCAUGGACGCUAUACCUUGCUCAGUGCAGACGACACAGCGAACACGAAAGCAAAAUUUGUUUUUCUAUGUAAAUGAACAUAUUUUUUUUAUCCUUUUAAAAAUGUUUUGUCAAACAACAAAACACAGUCAAUGAGAAACAAACACAUUAUUCUAGCAAUUUGUAUGCAUACAUUUUUAACAAAACCUAUGCGCUGGCUAUAUCGAUCAUAUGUAACCGUAUAAUAUUGCGCUGCUUACUUCCCUUUGGUAAUAUCAGUGUUUGUUCACCUACGAAUGUUUGAAGCGUUUGCCGCCAUUGCUAUUUCGGCAUUUUCUUAAGACGUUUAUACCGGUUUAUAGCCCCGAAUGGUCAAUUUACCACAGACAUCGAGUUGAAUUUAAGAAUAAAAACUGAAUAACACCACAUACAGUAUUCUUUUUCGACACGAUCGGUUCACUAUCUGUUUCCAGAACAGAAUAGUAAAUUGACAUACACUUUGCUAGUAGCAGAUGGAGAUGACGGGUACUGGACAUUGAACUAAAUACACAUUCAAAAUGGUCACACUCAAGUCUCAUCUGUAUUUAAACCGGCUUUAGAAAGUUUAUUGUAUGUCAACACAGCGUGAACGUCUGUUAUCUGUAUAAGGAAUGGCUCUUUAUGAAGAGAGAAUUGAUGACUUUAGGAAGCGCUGUUCUGCUUCAUGGCGCACAGUGGCUGAAAGUUUGGACAAAUUAAGUAAGAAGUUUAACUUAUGAGAGUUAUGUUGGUGAAAUUAACCUGAUUGAACAGCAAUUACUAGAAACCUAUGAAAGUUACGUAAAAGUAAAAGACGCAUUUGAAGUGUACUUAAAAAAUGUGUAAAGUGAAGCAAGUCUUAAAGAAUUAUUGGCUCUCACUAUACAGACCCGUUGCUACAGGAAAAAGCAAUGUUACACGCGCUGGAAAAGAUUGACCAAAUUAAACAAUAAAUAUUUAGAAAAAAGUAAUGUUAAGCAUGAAGCCAAACUCUGUUUAUGGUGGUGUGAAUUAAGACACACAGUUCGAGAUACUAGCCGUUGGAGUGAAGUUCAGUGAACUCAUCGCAUUGAAACAAGCAGAAGCCGAAUCUGCAAAGAUAAAACAGAAAUAUACUCAACAGGAAGCAGCUCCUUUGAAACAAAAGGCAGAAUCAGAAGCGAAUUUUCAAGUUCUUUCUCAGCAAAAAGCUUUUGAAGCCGCGGCUGCAGAAAUAAAGGUACUACAAGAGCAUGAUGUCGAAGGCUCUGAUGGGUCGGAAAGUCAUGUUGCACCAGACAUUCAAUUCAAAUUGCAAACUUUGCCUGUUGUAAAACCUGAAAAUCUAGUUCAAGAUUACAUCAAGAAAUCCACACAAAAAUCCAACAGUAUAUGACACUAAUAUUGGAGAAAAUCUGUGCAAAUUCCUCCUUAAAAAAGACUUGGCUCUCUCGCGACUGUUUUUUAUUUAGUGACAAGGAGGAAAACAAAUUUCAAGAACGUGAUGUUCGAGAUCAUGGAUACAAGCGCUUUUGAGGAAAUGGAUUUGGCUGUGAAGUGGCCAAGUUCUCGCCAGCACGCAGUUCAGGGCUCGAUUUUUUUUUCUACUUGCAAAACAUUGCGAGCAGCUUUAAAACCAACUCGCAAAAUCAAAAACAUUCUAUAAUUUAACUUCGUUUUUUUUUUUUACUCAACGGUUAACUUUGCUUUAUCUUUCGCAUUGUUAUUUACGCCUGUGGGCAAAAAGGAACUAGUUAUUUUUCGCUUUGACGCCAUGUCUGUUCAAGUUCAAUGAACACGUGUGAAUUAGUAGACUGUUAAACUUUCUCUGUAUCAAUACAAUCUGCGUAUCUGUACUAUAAGUAUACCAGUCUACAUACAAGGUGUGGGCUUCCGCAUACAGGUAUAUGGACGUUCUAUGACCUACGGUUUAGCGUUCAGAACGUCGAGCACAUUAGCAAUAUUCCUUUUUUUUCACUAUUUCUUUACUCGCAAAAAAUUACUAGUGGCUUAAAACUUAACUCACAAUCCGUAUUUUUCACUCGCAUUUUGCGAGUGUGCGGGUGUUAAUUUCGAGCCCUGCAGUUAGCUUGAGAUCAUCGUACCGCAGAGAUCCAGUCUUAGCAUGCGAGAAACGUUCUCGACUGCAUGAACGUUAUGGAAAAGCGGAGAUUGUCCACCAAUCUAUCACAAGGCGUAUUGAAUCUUUCCCUCAGGUGACCUAUAAAGACUCAAAAAAUGGUAUGAGCUUAGUGACUUGCUGAAUGAAAUACGUGCCUUGAAAGAAGACAAUGAGUUCUCAACGGCUCUAUCGUUCUACGAUACUUGAUUGGCUUAGCCCCUAUACUAGCCAAGCUUCCAGCAAAUGUUCAAGAACGUUGGGCAGCCAAAGCCAACGAUUACGAGAAGAAACAUAUCGUUAGUUUCCCUCCAUUCACUGCCUUUGUGGAAUUCAUAAGAGACCAGGCUACUAUAUGUAAAUUGUAAAUAACUAAUAUUGAUAAAGGCACCUGAUAUGUACAUUUACGCAAAACAAAACUCUGCGCAAGUUUUCAUUACUUUAUAAGAAUUAUAGAGCUAAAAUUCAUAUUCUUAAGAUAAAAACAUGGUUACAUAAAUUUUACAUACAUUUUUGUGGUCACUACCAUUUUGCGUUUAUUUCGAUCCCCUAAUUUGAAGAGUAUAACUAUAACAUUUUUGAAACAUAUUUGAAAUAUAUAUUUAAUUUUAUAUACAAUUUCAUGUCAUUAAGCUUGAAUGUUGAUUUUUCUUCGAAAAAUACCCCCCAUUCUGUAUGGUCUCAGACAAUUAAAGGCUAUAUUCUUUUCCUUCAAUUACUUCCAUAUGAUUUCAUCAUCAAUACUACAUGUUGUUGUAUCUAUAGCUUACCAGAUAUCUAAUAUAUUGUAUAAUGCCCCACCAUUAACUGGCUAUAUAUUUCUUUGUAAUGUAUUAUAUGUGGAAUGAUGGGCAUAUUGCCUUUUUUCCUGAAUAUAUAUGGCCUCAAAAUAUGUGUUCAUGAACUUUUAUUAGCAUAAACGACGCUUUCUUAUUAUACAGCCCAUGCAUAAAAAAUCUCUGUAACAAACCAAUACAUUUAAAAAGAAAAAUACAGGAACAAAUUAAUACUUUGUUACUUUUAAAUUUCCAUCAGAUUUUUUUUUAGUUUUCAGAAUUUAUCAACACUAUUUAUUGCAUACUUGUUAACCUGAUUUAUUGUCAAUUUAUUGUGUAUAGGCUUUGUACUUAAGUCCAAUUUAUUGUCAGUUUAUUGAACGUAUUUAUUGACAAUUCAUUUAUCAUGUAUGAAUAAAUUAUUUACAAUUUA